GAUGAACGCUGACAGAAUGCUUAACACAUGCAAGUCUACUUGAUCCUUCGGGUGAAGGUGGCGGACGGGUGAGUAACGCGUAAAGAACUUGCCUUACAGACUGGGACAACAUUUGGAAACGAAUGCUAAUACCGGAUAUUAUGAUUGGGUCGCAUGAUCUGGUUAUGAAAGCUAUAUGCGCUGUGAGAGAGCUUUGCGUCCCAUUAGUUAGUUGGUGAGGUAACGGCUCACCAAGACGAUGAUGGGUAGCCGGCCUGAGAGGGUGAACGGCCACAAGGGGACUGAGACACGGCCCUU
rnacentral:rRNA from 1 species